rnacentral:SRP_RNA from 1 species
UCGUGCAGCCGGGGCGUUAGCGGUGCCUUGUACCCACAAUCCGCUAUAGUGGGGGUGAUAUUGCGCAGAGGGCAUUUGAUUGUGAAGCUGCCCUUGAAAAGUGGCGUUGAAGUUUGGGUCUUACGCGACAGGAAUCUAUGAACCGUGUCAGGGCAGGAAUGCAGCAGCACUAAGUAGAACCUCCUGGGUGCCGUGAGGUUGCCUGGGCCGAGUUAACUGUCAAGGUAACGUUCAUGAGAGAACGUUCGAAGCGCAAUGCACGU